UACGUAGGGUGCGAGCGUUUAAUCGGAAUUACUGGGCGUAAAGCGUGCGCAGGCGGUUCGUUGUGUCGGCGGUGAAAGCCCCGGGCUCAACCUGGGAAUGGCCGUUGAAACUGGCGAACUGGAGUGUGGCAGAGGGGGGUGGAAUUCCGCGUGUAGCAGUGAAAUGCGUAGAGAUGCGGAGGAACACCGAUGGCGAAGGCAGCCCCCUGGGUCAAGAUUGACGCUCAUGCACGAAAGCGUGGGGAGCAAACAGG
rnacentral:rRNA from 1 species